rnacentral:rRNA from 1 species
CUCUCGGGUGACGAGUGGCGGACGGGUGAGUAAUGUCUGGGAAACUGCCUGAUGGAGGGGGAUAACUACUGGAAACGGUAGCUAAUACCGCAUAACGUCGCAAGACCAAAGAGGGGGACCUUCGGGCCUCUUGCCAUCAAAUGUGCCCAGAUGGGAUUAGCUAGUAGGUGGGGUAACGGCUCACCUAAGCAACGAUCCCUAGCUGGUCUGAGAGGAUGACCAGCCACACUGGAACUGAGACACGGUCCACACUCCUACGGGAGGCAGCAGUGGGGAAUAUUGCACAAUGGGCGCAAGCCUGAUGCAUCCAUGCCGCGUGUAUGAAGAAGGCCUUCUGGUUGUAAAGUACUUUCAGCGGGGAGGAAGGUGUUGUGGUUAAUAACCACAGCGAUUGACGUUACCCGCAGAAGAAGCACCGGCUAACUCCGUGCCAGCAGCCGCGGUAAUACGGAGGGUGCAAGCGUUAAUCGGAAUUACUGGGCGUAAAGCGCACGCAGGCGGUCUGUCAAGUCGGAUGUGAAAUCCCCGGGCUCAACCUGGGAACUGCAUUCGAAACUGGCAGGCUAGAGUCUUGUAGAGGGGGGGUAGAAUUCCAUGUGU